GAAGUGGGACAGGCUGGCUUUGAGGACGCGCGAGGUCGGCCGCGGGCGGCUGGAGCCGGCGCGGGCCCCGGUGCGCGGGAGGCCGCCUGCAGCCCGGCUCUGCGCGCUGCGGCCCGGCUCCGGGUUGCGGUUUUAAUGAGGCGCCCGCGCCCCUCCCGGAGCUGCGAGGGGAGAUCUCUGCUCCCGGUCUCGCUCCCCCUCCCCCCCACCCCCGGUUCGGUGUAGGCAUCCACCCUCCGCCUGGGUUCUGCCGGCGCCUCCUUUCUCCCCUCCGAGCCGCCCGAGAGCCGUUGCCUUCCCUGCUUGCGCCCACCCACCCUGCACCAGCUUUAUCUCCGUGCUCAAGGAGACCCCAGUACCCCCUCCUUCCCUCUCAGCCUCUGUCGUCGCCGGGGAGACCCAGCUGGAGACAGAAGCCGAUGCCUGGACCUGGACUCUCUGCCCACAAAGAGGGGGUUUGCUGAGCUGCAGUGCAUUCUGGGGAAGCACAAGACAUGGCUGCCACUGUCGCACCAAAGGGGGUAAGGCAGAGGAGACGCUUUCCGAGCAUAGAGCUAGCCAGAUGUCUCCCCCUCAGGAGUCUGUGCAUGAAGCAAACCUAGAGACGGUUCUGGGAUUGGCAAGAAUGCCAUGCCGCCUGAAAAUGAGGGACAGAAGCUGCUGGUGCGGCUGCGCCAGCAAGAAGCACACCUGUGCCGGUUUCCAUGGUGCAGGUCAGAGGACACCGUGCAGGAGUCGGUUCCAACCUUCUACCAUGUGGGUCCUAAGGACAGAACUCAGGCCGUCAGUCUUGGCAGCAAGCACUUUUAUCUACGGAGCCGUCUCACCGGCCCAGGAAAAACUUGUCAGCUAUUCCUGCCCUAAAGGCAGCCAAGCCGGAGGAUUUUGACAUUGGGUGGUAGAGUUAGCCCCCGUGUGGCUCCAGGAAAGCCAGUAUCACAGGUGUGGGGUGUCGGGGUCUGCUCUACACCCUAAAAUCUUAUUGUCUCCUAUGAGCUGCUUUUAACCCGGGGAGGAAGCAGAAGCCCAGGAGACAGUGUCGCGCUGGUGACCCAGCCAGCAAACCACGGAGGUGGGAUCCACGUUCAUAAGCUUUACCUAAACACACGUUCCUAGACCGACAGCAGAAUUUAUCCAUUCACCUGCCAAUCACUCAUCCACCCACUCAGUCAUUCUCCCAGCACCCACCAGGAAUCCUCAGAAUGCUAUGCCCCAGGCCUGGGCAUGGUGUCUGCAGCAAUGAAGGAAGAGAUGGUCAUUCAGAAUGCCACUCACACAUGGCUGCCGGGGAAAUGCUGGGGUGCAGAAGGCCAUGGGAAUCUGGUGGUUUCCAGGGGGACCAGUCAAGGUUUAAUGUGCACACUUCUGGCUGGAAGGGUGUCACCAGCAGGGGGGUGUGUACAGAAGGCAGAAAGUCAAGGUCAAGGCAGAAAUAAGAGAAGAAAACAAAACUUGUCAUCAGCCUCCUGGAGAAGUUGGGUGGACUGUUCACUGAUACUUCUGGUGAUGGAGGCCACUACCAUUCUACUUGUGACCAGAUACAUGGCUCCCACAUUGUGAAGAGUGAGGGUCCAUCUGGUGUGGGUCCUCUGCUGCUGACCUUGAGCCUAGUGUCUACGGAAUAGAGAGCCACUCCCCAGCUGAGCGAGCCAGCCCUGUUGAGACUCUGGAGGCUCUGUCCUUCCUUCCUGCCCCCGGACUGGUCUCUGUGGGUCAGGCGUGGCCAUGGGCCCAGACUGGAGCGUUUGGGAGGGAGUCAUCAAAGACACCUGUCUGGGCUCCAGGUCAGAGGCAGGGCUAUGAGGCUCUUAACACCUCUGCCUUAUUUUCUCUCUGAAGGAGAUUGGAGGUUUGAGAGUGUCUCUGCAAAUGGUAUCGGGUCCCAAGCCUCAGCCUGUAACUGCUGCCUCUACGUGCUCUUUUUGUCACCUAAGGGAUACAAGGCAUGGAAUAAUGCCCCUACAAAUCUGCCCAAGCCAUCCCAGGCUCAGACCCGAGGACUGUGUCCCCUAAACCAGCAUGAAGGACUCAGCUGUAAAGCCAGUGACCUCAGCCUAUGGGCCCUGUGCUGUGCUUUGUCACCUGAACCCGUGUGCCUUCUGCCCGGUAUCCUCUCUACGCUAAUGCAGAGCUCCCAACCCCUAGUUCCAAUGAGGCGCUCGGUGGCCAGGCCAAGUACUACAUGUCCCAGCCACCUUUGCAGCUAGGGGUAGUCAUGUGAUCACGUCUGACCAAUGGGACAGGGAUAAUGACUUCAGCGCCCUCCAGCUUGCCUUUAAAAGGAAAUGGAGCCACCGGUGACUUUAGGGAACUUGAAGCUUGGAUUCCGCAGCAUGCUUAGGAAAGAACAGAGAAGUGCCAACCCUCUUGACCUUGUGCACAGAGGGACGGUGUACACAGAAGGAGCCUGGGCCCCGAGCCAAGGUUCCUAAUAACAGGAAAGCCUCCGGUAGGCAAAAAUCAGCCCGAAGGCUACUGUCACUUGGGUACUGCCAAGGAUGAUGGGCCAGCCUCCAAACCCAGACCCUGAGUCUCAAAAAGGAUAGUAGGCAAAUGAAGAGUCCAAGGAUGGCCAUAGUGCAGGACCUGGGCUCAAAGCCACAGGCUCUAAAAAUGGAAGCAAAAGGAAGGACAAGUUCAGGCCAGCCUCAGCUACUAAGAAUUCAAGGCCAGUGUGACACCAUAGACAGACAGACAGACAGAUGCAUGUAUGGACACAUGUCACCGGGCUGAAUGAUGACUGACACUGUCCAUGCAGGUGACAGUGCCCACGGCAGGUGUGGUGGCCCAUGGCAGGUGCUGGGCAUGUGAUUUCAGGCUGUGGGUAAGCGAACCGCCAGGGAGGUUCUAAACCUGGGAGAACUGGUGACUUCUGUGUCUUAGAUGUCAUCAGGUGUCCACUGCUGUGACGGCCCCUUCUAAUGACCGCCAGAAGGGCAAGGCCACGGUGCUAACAAACGCCUUUAUAGAAUGCCACCCCAGUGCGCUGUCACCUCUAAGCCUGGCCCUUCUCCUGGAGGUCAGCAGAGGAGCCAGCCAUUGUCCUGUUCCCAGGUGAGAAGAUAGUCAAGGACCACAUCCCCCGGCCAGUCGCUCAUCACAUGAUAGGCCUUUGUAUUCUGUAAACAAAGCUUUCUUAGUAUUCUGCUACAUUUUUUUAAAAAAUAUGUAUCUGGAGGAACUGAACGUGGAA